UACGAAGGGGGCUAGCGUUGCUCGGAAUCACUGGGCGUAAAGGGUGCGUAGGCGGAUCGUUAAGUCGGGGGUGAAAUCCUGGAGCUCAACUCCAGAACUGCCUUCGAUACUGGCGAUCUCGAGUCCGGAAGAGGUGAGUGGAACUCCGAGUGUAGAGGUGAAAUUCGUAGAUAUUCGGAAGAACACCAGUGGCGAAGGCGGCUCACUGGCCCGUUACCGACGCUCAGGCGCGACAGCGUGGGGAGCAAACAGG
rnacentral:rRNA from 1 species